GGCAGCAAAGCUCCGUGGAACAGAAAGCAUGAAGGGGGAAUUCUCCCAUGCGAGUGCCUAAAAUGCCAUGCAAGGUUUCACCACCACAGUCUUGGCUGCCGAUCAGAAGCGACGACUGAGCCCUGGAUCUUUAUCUAGGUGAUGUCCAUGCAAGUCACAUCUAAUGCUGAAGAGAAAGAGAAAGGGAGAGCUAAAGAACGUAACCACAGAGAGACACACGGUAUCUCUUCCAUUAAUUACACUACACAAAAACAAUGCCACCAUUGUAUGUUUUUUUUGCAUCUCCAUUCCACUCCCACACCCUCUUUAAAUAAUAACCCAAAGACCUGACCACAAACGACGCACGGGGAGAAAAAUAAAAGGCCUAAAUGAGGCUGAGGAGUGGAUGGAGGUGCAGUUCCUCCAGAGGCCGAGUGGGGUCGCCAGCGCUUUGCGCCUCGUCCACCUCUCUUCCCACAGUCCCCCGAGGUGUCUCAUGAUCUCAGCAAAAGUGGGACGCUUUUAAAUGCUCCAGGAGACCCACAUCAAAGCUGUAUCCUCAUGUCUUUUGUGUUUUGUGAGUCGCCCAAAAUGUAAAUGAUAUAAACCUGUAUUGAAUAUA